rnacentral:rRNA from 1 species
UACAGAGGGGGCAAGCGUUAUUCGGAAUUAUUGGGCGUAAAGGGCGCGUAGGCGGGGAUGUAAGUCGGAUGUGAAAUCCCGGGGCUCAACCUCGGAACAGCAUACGAAACUACAUCUCUAGAGGGUAGGCGGAGAAAAUGGAAUUCCACGUGUAGCGGUGAAAUGCGUAGAUAUGUGGAAGAACACCGGUGGCGAAGGCGAUUUUCUAGCUUAUACCUGACGCUGAGGCGCGAAAGCAAGGGGAUCAAACAGG